GAGACUAACACCUGAUUCAAAGAUUACCAGCGAAUCCAACAGAAAGGAUCAGGGUAAGUUCAAUACAACCCAAGUCGUGCAUCUCAUAUGUCACAGUGUGCAUGAACUCCCCCAUCAGCUUCUCACCACCUGAUAUCUUAGUCUAUGUGACUUAGAUCAUCAAUGAAGCUCGGAGAUCUCUGUUACCACAUAGGCAUCAAUACUUAAUACACAGCAAACAUCAGUCCAUACAUUAUCCCAAAUGUAUGAAUUCAAUUUCAUACCAUUUCGUCAUACAAUAUCAUUCAAAAAGUUAUCCACAAUAUUCAAAAGUU
rnacentral:lncRNA from 1 species